rnacentral:rRNA from 1 species
GAUGAACGCUGGCGGCGUGCCUAAUACAUGCAAGUCGAGCGAAUGGAUUAAGAGCUUGCUCUUAUGAAGUUAGCGGCGGACGGGUGAGUAACACGUGGGUAACCUGCCCAUAACACUGGGAUAACUCCGGGAAACCGGGGCUAAUACCGGAUAACAUUUUGAACCGCAUGGUUCGAAAUUGAAAGGCGGCUCCGGCUGUCACUUAUGGAUGGACCAGGGUCGCAUUAGCUAGUUGGUGAGGUAACGGCUCACCAAGGCAACGAUGCGUAGCCGACCUGAGAGGGUGAUCGGCCACACUGGGACUGAGACACGGCCCAGACUCCUACGGGAGGCAGCAGUAGGGAAUCUUCCGCAAUGGACGAAAGUCUGACGGAGCAACGCCGCGUGAGUGAUGAAGGCUUUCGGGUCGUAAAACUCUGUUGUUAGGGAAGAACAAGUGCUAGUUGAAUAAGCUGACACCUUGACGGUACCUAACCAGAAAGCCACGGCUAACUACGUGCCAGCCGCCGCCGUAA